rnacentral:rRNA from 1 species
AUGAACGCUGGCGGCGUGCCUAAUACAUGCAAGUCGAGCGAACAGACGAGGAGCUUGCUCCUCUGACGCUAGCGGCGGACGGGUGAGUAACACGUGGAUAACCUACCUAUAAGACUGGGAUAACUUCGGGAAACCGGAGCUAAUACCGGAUAAUAUAUUGAACCGCAUGGUUCAAUAGUGAAAGACGGUUUUGCUGUCACUUAUAGAUGGAUCCGCGCCGCAUUAGCUAGUUGGUAAGGUAACGGCUUACCAAGGCAACGAUGCGUAGCCGACCUGAGAGGGUGAUCGGCCACACUGGAACUGAGACACGGUCCAGACUCCUACGGGAGGCAGCAGUAGGGAAUCUUCCGCAAUGGGCGAAAGCCUGACGGAGCAACGCCGCGUGAGUGAUGAAGGUCUUCGGAUCGUAAAACUCUGUUAUUAGGGAAGAACAAAUGUGUAAGUAACUAUGCACGUCUUGACGGUACCUAAUCAGAAAGCCACGGCUAACUACGU